AAUAAGUGCAGUUUUGCACUGUUCAUCUUCAACGUUUGACCGUUCGUCUUAUUUGAAAAAUUUUUAUGAUUACUAUUUUUAUUGUUAUUAGAUGGUAAAAUAUAAAUAGUACUUUAUGUGUAAUUAAUUUUUUUAAAUUUUUUUAUAAAUUUUUUAAAUAAGACGGACGGUCAAAUGUUGGACCCGGAUUUUCACGACUGCAUUUAUU
rfam:Oryza barthii chromosome 9, whole genome shotgun sequence.